GGAAGAUCCUGAGAGAGGCGUGUGCGGUGUCGCAUGUUAGUGACCUCUGUAUUGUCUUUGAGAAAAGGGGGAAUGCAGGUCCUUAACAGGGAGGAGUGGGCCACUUCUGGAGGCCCAGGUGGCUCAGGAGAAUCUGGGGAGUCUAGAUUUCUGAGUGCCUCCAUCCAGAUGUGCCCUUCCCAAUCUGACAGUCCCAGUCCUUCUCAGUCAGGAGUCUGACCCCGGCACCGUACACUUCCUGAGGUCGAGAGUUAAAUCUUCUCUGGAGCCCCACUGCCCUUGAAAGGAAUGUGGGGCCUGGUCCUCAGCCGUUUCUGAUCUUCGGCUGCAAGAGACAAGAGUUUCUUCACGAGCUGCCAAGGAGGCCUUCUCUCCCUCGGCCUUUGUGAUCUCUGUCCGCCGCCCUGGCAACCCCACAACAGCUGUCUGACUCCACAGUCAAGGGCCCGAGAUAGCACCCCCUGCUGGACUCCCUUCCUACUUUGUGCUGGGGAAAUUUUUCACAGUUGUCUCACUACAUUGCCGGGGGCUCAGUUCUCCCUCUUACACCAAUCGUGGGGAUUUCCGUUCAGCUAGCUGGUGGGUGAUUCAGCCCCGAAGUCUCAGGUUAGGGGCUGCUUCCUCAGACCAUCCUGAUAGCAACUCUCUUGGGUGGAGGUCCCUGAGACACUGGGUGGGAUGCCUGCCACAGCAUGGCUUGAUAAGCGGCGUGUAUGUCCGCACCCGGGAUCUGAACCUGUGAACUCUGGGCCGCUGAAGUGGAACGUGCGAACUUAACCGCUGCACCACUGGGCCCGCCCCCACAAUUCUCAUUUAAGUAAGCCUCAUGGGGAGCCAGGGGCCUUCUGACAGAGGCACCUUGAGGUGCGGGUCAGGGAGGCCCUCUGAGGAGGGACCCACGGGUCAGUGGGAGUCGAUUACAGGGUUGUGGGGUGGCAGGUUGGGAUAAUUGAGGCAGGAGAACUAGGUUUUUAUGUAAUUCGAAAGGGAGCUCUGCUCUUCAACUCCUCUCUGAGGCCUAGUUGGUGCGCUGGAAGCUGGUAGGUGGUGCACACAGGUGGGGCUGGGCCCAGGAGGUGGGGCGGGCCGCUCCCGGCUGAGCUGAGGUUCCUCAGGACUUGGCACCAGCCCCGGUGGGCAUCUCUCCAUUCCCACCUGCCCGCCUGCUGCCCGCUGCCGCCCACUCUGGCAGAAAGCUCCAAGUCCACAUGUGUGCCUUGCUCUCAUUUACUUUUGGAAAAGGCAAACAGCGAUGGACCUUGGACACUAGUUAACCAGACUUUUCUGGAAAAGGCUUGCUUGGGACUCUAACAGCACCUGAUUCUUGCCCUUUCAAUAUUUGAGAAGCAGCGCCCUAUGCAAACAGGAUGAAAGCUGUGGACCCCCGCUCCAGGAAAGUGCCAUUCAACAAUGAUUCUUUAUUGGAAGAGGCGUUUGAGCUGAUUUCGUUCAAAUCCUUCUCUUUCCUGGAGAAAUGGCUGAGGACUGAAAAGGCUAGAACUGACCAGAGUCACACAGCUAUUACAGGCAAAGGCUGUGCUUGGCGGCAGCUGUUCCCACUGCUGCUCGGGAGCCUGCGGAGGGCCCAGGUCAACUUCCGUCUCCUAAAGGAUCCUGUUAGAGGCCCCAGUACGUAAACGGGGGAUAAAAGGGCACGUGGGACACGGUUUACCAGCAAGUCAUCAACACUGUGGCUUUCCCUAAGUGGGGGUCUCC
rnacentral:lncRNA from 1 species